UUCGGACUUUAUCUUGUAAUUUCGUGCAGUGUGCAGUGUGCUACAUGUAUUUUGCAAUAAAAAGAUUACAAAAGCACAGUGCUACAUAAUUAUAUUAAUAAUUGGGUGUUAUUGAAUGAUUUAUCAAAGUCACUCACGUAUCACAAUAAAAGUUUUAGACGAAACUAAAGAAUA